rnacentral:tRNA from 1 species
UCCUGGUAAGUUUACAUGGUAGAGCACUCCAGCGAAAAUGGAGAGGUUUCUCGUUCGAUACCUGAACCAGGCG